AUGUUUUGCGAGGCAGAUCGGCUUUUCAGUGAGAUGGUUGAAAGGGGUCUGGAGCCAAAUGAGGUGACUUAUCCUAUAUUGAUACAUUCACUUUCAAAAAGGGGGAUGAUGGAGGAUGAACUUCACAUGUUCGAUGGGAUGAGGGAGAAGGGUGUCAAAGUGACAGUCUAUCCGUACAAUUCUUUGAUUAAUGGUUGCUACAAACAUGAUGAUUUAGAUAGGGCGAUGGGCUUCCUGGAUGAGAUGGCUGAGAUCGGAGUGACACUAAAUGUAGCUUCAUAUUGUCCAGUGCCAUGGAACUCCAUAGAGAGAUGGAUGAGAAGGGUAGCCAAGUGGACUUGA
rnacentral:rRNA from 1 species